rnacentral:rRNA from 1 species
UACGUAGGGUGCAAGCGUUAAUCGGAAUUACUGGGCGUAAAGCGUGCGCAGGCGGCUUUGCAAGACAGAUGUGAAAUCCCCGGGCUCAACUGGGAAACUGCAUCGGAAACUGAUCGGCUUGAAGAUGGGAGAGGGUAGUGGAAUUCCCGGUGUAGUGGUGAAAUGCGUAGAUAUCGGGAGGAACACCAGUGGCGAAGGCGACUACCUGGCCCAUUCUUGACGCUGAGGCGCGAAAGCUAGGGGAGCGAACGGG